UUGGAUGUGAGGUCCCUUUCCCAAAUUAUGGACUAUAUACUGUGUGCAACUGUAAUUUUUGUUAAGAGGAUUCAAAUCCAAAAGUAUGAUCCAC
rnacentral:snoRNA from 1 species